AGGCGCCCAGGGCCCGUCACUGACGCAGGGCCAGGGCUGCAGGGGCCAAAAGGCCCGGCCGCAGCCCCGGGAGGGGGGAAAUUGAGUCCUGCCCUAAUCACCGGCCCAACGAACCGCCCCCCCCCAUCCUCCUCCGAUCGAAGCGGGGAGGCCACCCCAACAACCCGCUUCAUCGGAGCCUGGGCCGAGCGCCGGUCCUCGGAGUGACGGCCACAGCGGGGCCCGCCCCUCAGCCCCGGCGGAUGAAGCGGCUCCGAGGCCGCGGGCUCAAUCCACCCCCGAGCGAAGGGACGAUCUCUCUCUCUCUCUUCCCCCCAACACACCACCCGCCGUUGCCGCUACUCACGGGUCAUCCUGUCUCCGCGACAGCCGAAUGCACUCCUACAAACCGCCCCGGCCGGCGCCGCAACCUAACCUGAGCACAGCAACCCCCCCCCCCCUGUCCCCGCCUACCACCUUCCAGUUGGUGGCGGCCGCCACCUGCUGCCUUCUGUAUGGCUGGAGCCGGUGUCAAUCGAAUGUCGUCACUUCUCAUCAUGUUCGGUUGAGCGGCGGUCACAUGGUGACGAGUUGCUCUGGGGUGGCGGUGCUUAGGAGAAUUGCUUUCCUUUUUUCCUCCACCAUUAUUUUGUUUGCUUGGAAGAAGAAACCGUGGCAUCCUUAAUGUUGACACCAAUCCUCUGUGGAUGAGUUGAAAUGUGGCAUACCUGGCACCUCUGGAAAGCACCCAAGGGCAUCCACAAGCCAAGACCUCAGCUCCAGCCCCAAUGACACCUCGGAUGCAGAACCUGAGGACAGCACCAUCGAAGACUUCAAUGGAGAUGCUGCCUG